rnacentral:tRNA from 1 species
GUUGAGAUGGCCGAGAUGGUCUAAGGCGCCAGAUUAAGGUUGUCCGAAAGGGCAUGGGUUCAAAUCCGACUCUCAACA